AUUGAACGCUGGCGGCAUGCCUUACACAUGCAAGUCGAACGGUAACAGGUCUUCGGACGCUGACGAGUGGCGAACGGGUGAGUAAUACAUCGGAACGUGCCCAGUCGUGGGGGAUAACUACUCGAAAGAGUAGCUAAUACCGCAUACGAUCUGAGGAUGAAAGCGGGGGACCUUCGGGCCUCGCGCGAUUGGAGCGGCCGAUGGCAGAUUAGGUAGUUGGUGGGAUAAAAGCUUACCAAGCCGACGAUCUGUAGCUGGUCUGAGAGGACGACCAGCCACACUGGGACUGAGACACGGCCCAGACUCCUACGGGAGGCAGCAGUGGGGAAUUUUGGACAAUGGGCGAAAGCCUGAUCCAGCAAUGCCGCGUGCAGGAUGAAGGCCUUCGGUUGUAAACUGCUUUUGUACGGACGAAAAGACUCCUUCUAAUACAGGGGGCCCGACUGACGGUACCGUAAGAAUAAGCACCGGCUAACUACGUGCCAGCCGCCGCCGUAA
rnacentral:rRNA from 1 species